rnacentral:rRNA from 1 species
UCCCUGACCGCGUAUGAAAGUACGUUUUCACCUCGGGUGACAGGGAGACAGGUGGUGCAUGGUUGUCGUCAGCUCGUGUCGUGAGAUGUUGGGUUAAGUCCCGCAACGAGCGCAACCCCUACGUUUAGUUGCUAACGCGUGAAGGCGAGCACUCUAGACGAACUGCCGUUGACAAAACGGAGGAAGUGGGGAUGACGUCAAAUCAUCAUGCCCCUUAUGUUCUGGGCUACACACGUGCUACAAUGGCCGGUACAGACGGACGCAAAGCCGCGAGGUGGAGCAAAUCCUAAAAAGCCGGUCUCAGUUCGGAUUGCAGGCUGCAAUUCGCCUGCAUGAAGUCGGAAUCGCUAGUAACCGCAGGUCAGCAUACUGCGGUGAAUACGUUCCCGGGCCUU